UGGGUGCCGUCUACACCUCCGCAACGUCUGACGGAUUUGUUACCCGUAACGGCACGGGGUGACACAGACGAGAGGA
rnacentral:ncRNA from 1 species